rnacentral:rRNA from 1 species
AUACGGAGGGUGCAAGCGUUAUCCGGGUUCAUUGGGUUUAAAGGGUACGUAGGCGGAUAGAUAAGUUAGUGGUGAAAUCCCGAAGCUCAACUUCGGAACUGCCAUUAAAACUGUCUAUCUUGAAUUUGGUUGAAGUGGGCGGAAUAUGACAUGUAGCGGUGAAAUGCAUAGAUAUGUCAUGGAACACCGAUAGUGAAGACAGCUCACUAAGCCAAUAUUGACGCUGAGGUACGAAAGCAUGGGUAGCGAACAGGAUUAGAAACCCUAGUAGUCC